rnacentral:rRNA from 1 species
UACGGAGGAUGCGAGCGUUAUCCGGAUUUAUUGGGUUUAAAGGGUGCGUAGGCGGGAUGCCAAGUCAGCGGUAAAAAUGCGGUGCUCAACGCCGUCGAGCCGUUGAAACUGGCGUUCUUGAGUGGGCGAGAAGUAUGCGGAAUGCGUGGUGUAGCGGUGAAAUGCAUAGAUAUCGCGCAGAACUCCGAUUGCGAAGGCAGCAUACCGGCGCCCUACUGACGCUGAAGCACGAAAGCGUGGGUAUCGAACAGG